rnacentral:rRNA from 1 species
GAUGAACGCUGGCGGCGUGCCUAAUACAUGCAAGUCGAGCGAACGGACGAGAAGCUUGCUUUUCUGAUGUUAGCGGCGGACGGGUGAGUAACACGUGGAUAACCUACCUAUAAGACUGGGAUAACUUCGGGAAACCGGAGCUAAUACCGGAUAAUAUUUUGAACCGCAUGGUUCAAAAGUGAAAGACGGUCUUGCUGUCACUUAUAGAUGGAUCCGCGCUGCAUUAGCUAGUUGGUAAGGUAACGGCUUACCAAGGCAACGAUGCAUAGCCGACCUGAGAGGGUGAUCGGCCACACUGGAACUGAGACACGGUCCAGACUCCUACGGGAGGCAGCAGUAGGGAAUCUUCCGCAAUGGGCGAAAGCCUGACGGAGCAACGCCACGUGAGUGAUGAAGGUCUUCGGAUCGUAAAACUCUGUUAUUAGGGAAGAACAUAUGUGUAAGUAACUGUGCACAUCUUGACGGUACCUAAUCAGAGAGCCACGGCUAACUACGUG